GCCUGGGUGGCUCAGUCAGUUAAGCACUGGACUUCAGUUCAGGUCAUGAUCUCACAGUUUGUGGGUUAGAGCCCCACAUCAGGCU
rnacentral:tRNA from 1 species